rnacentral:rRNA from 1 species
AAAGGAAUAGACGGGGACUCACACAAGCGGUGGAUCACGUGGCUUAAUUCGACAGUAAGCGAGGAACCUUACCAAGGCUUGAAACUCUAAUGCAAUCCUUCCGAAAGGAAGGCCCUCCGCAAGGACGUUAGAGCAGGUGCUGCAUGGUUGUCGUCAGCAGGUGGCUUGAGUUGCUCCCUUAAAUGGGGUAACCUGCGCAACCCUUGCCCUAUGUUUUAAAUGUCAUGGGGGACUGCCUAGGACAACUAGGAGGAAGGUGAGGAUGACGCCAAAUCAGCAUGGCCCUUUGAUGCCUUGGGCUGCACACGUGAUACAAUGGAAAUGACAAAGGGAUGCGAAAAGGUAACUUGAAGCAAAUCCCAACAAACAUUUUCUCAAUUCGGAUUGAGGUCUGCAACCCGACCUCAUGAAGUCGGAAUCGCUAGUAACCGUAGAUCAGCCAUGCUACGGUGAAUGUGUCCCUGGGUCUUGUACACACCGCCCGU